UGUUCAAAGCAUAUCCUCCCUGGAGUGUGAAUUUGUUUAUAAAAAUCUAACCUACAAAAUUAAACUUGAAAUCACUAUCUUUCUGAGUGUUGGUGUUCUGUUGAAAUGUUCUUCUAGUUUUCGCGUCUGGUACAGUAACAUUUAUCCGUCAAAAUGGCCAGAGGUCCGAAGAAACAUUUGAAGCGUUUAAACGCACCUAAAGCAUGGAUGUUGGAUAAAUUAGGAGGUGUCUUUGCUCCUCGUCCAAGCACCGGUCCACACAAACUUCGGGAGUCGCUACCAUUGUUGAUUUUUUUGCGUAAUCGUCUGAAGUAUGCACUUACUGGGGCUGAAGUCACCAAGAUUGUCAUGCAAAGAUUAAUCAAAGUUGAUGGCAAAGUUCGUACUGAUCCUAAUUAUCCAGCUGGUUUCAUGGAUGUUAUAUCAAUUCAAAAGACCAGUGAGCACUUUAGAUUGAUUUAUGAUGUGAAAGGUCGUUUUACCAUUCACAGAAUUACUCCUGAAGAAGCAAAAUAUAAGCUGUGUAAAGUAAAGAGGGUACAAACUGGACCCAAAGGUGUGCCAUUCUUAACAACUCAUGAUGGGCGUACUAUCCGUUAUCCUGACCCCAACAUCAAGGUUAAUGAUACUAUUAGAUACGACAUUGCAUCAUCUAAAAUCUUGGAUCAUAUUCGUUUUGAAACUGGAAACUUGUGCAUGAUUACUGGAGGUCGUAACUUGGAGGCGUGUUGGUAUUGUUACCAACAGGAAAGGCAUCCAGGAUCUUUGAUAUUGUUCACAUUAAGGAUGCAAAUGAACAUAUUUUUGCUACUCGAAUGAACAAUGUUUUUAUAAUUGGAAAAGGUCAAAAGAACUACAUUUCUCUGCCAAGAAGCAAGGGAGUGAAAUUGACUAUUGCUGAAGAACGUGACAAGCGUUUUGGCUGCAAAGACCAAGUCAAGCAGACGUUGAAAGCUUGUUUUUGCAUUUUCAUGUGGUUUAAAUAAAUGACUUUAAAAUACAAAUAUGUAUUUUGUUUGUUUUUGAUUGAUCCUAAAUUAUACGUAACAAUUAUUUUGGAUCUGUAAA